rnacentral:tRNA from 1 species
AGGGUAGUAGUUAAGUAUAACAUUUGGUUUGCAUCCAAAAAGUAUUGAAAUUCAAUCUACCUUA